rnacentral:lncRNA from 1 species
AUGCCCCGCUCCUUCCUCGUGAAGCCUACCGGACGCCGCGCGCUCCGUGACUCUGUUGACCGAGCCGAUCACGAGCGUGCGGACCCGGAGCCCCGGUGUGCGCGCGGACAGAUGCUCGUCCCUGUGUUUGACGUGCCUCCCGCCGCGACGGGGGGGCCUGGGGCAGAGUGGGGCCCGUCACAACCCUGGACUCAAAUGGAUACCAGACCGACCAGAACCGAAAGGACCGACCGGACCGCCUCGGCGAACUGGCCCGACGUCCAGGUACUUCAGACCCAGAGGGAGAGGGAUCUGGAGCAGCUGGUGUUGGUGCUGUUGGACCACGCCUCGCACGCCGCUCUGGCGCCGCGACUCAGCGCCUGCACGCACUGCGAGGAGGUAGGAGCGCCGUUACACCACCCUUCUGGACGCUACGUCACGGGGGGGCGGAGGAGAGGAGCAGGCGGGGGAGGCGAGGGGGGAGGGCUGCGAGGAGAGGAGUCAUUUAUGUCGUGCUGUCACUCACAUA